rnacentral:rRNA from 1 species
UGGGGAAUAUUGCACAAUGGGGGAAACCCUGAUGCAGCGACGCCGCGUGAAGGAAGAAGUAUUUCGGUAUGUAAACUUCUAUCAGCAGGGAAGAAAAUGACGGUACCUGAGUAAGAAGCCCCGGCUAACCACGUGCCAGCAGCCGCGGUAAUACGUAUGGUGCAAGCGUUAUCCGGAUUUACUGGGUGUAAAGGGAGCGCAGGCGGUACGGCAAGUCUGAUGUGAAAGCCCGGGGCUCAACCCCGGUACUGCAUUGGAAACUGUCGGACUAGAGUGUCGGAGGGGUAAGUGGAAUUCCUAGUGUAGCGGUGAAAUGCGUAGAUAUUAGGAGGAACACCAGUGGCGAAGGCGGCUUACUGGACGGAAACUGACGUUGAGGCUCGAAAGCGUGGGGAGCAAACAGG